rnacentral:rRNA from 1 species
UACAGAGGGUGCAAGCGUUAAUCGGAAUUACUGGGCGUAAAGCGUGCGUAGUCGGCUUUGCAAGUCGGGUGUGAAAUCCCCGGGCUCAACCUGGGAACUGCAUCCGAGACUGCAUUGCUAGAGUAUGGGAGAGGGAAGCGGAAUUUCUGGUGUAGCAGUGAAAUGCGUAGAUAUCAGAAGGAACAUCAGUGGCGAAGGCGGCUUCCUGGACCAAUACUGACGAUCAGGUGCGAAAGCGUGGGGAGCAAACAGG